UAGUCCACGCCGUAAACGAUGGAUACUAGCUGUCCGACCGCUUCGGUGGUUGGGUGGCCAAGCGAAAGUGAUAAGUAUCCCACCUGGGGAGUACGUUCGCAAGAAUGAAACUCAAAGGAAUUGACGGGGGCCCGCACAAGCGGUGGAGCAUGUGGUUUAAUUCGAUGAUACGCGAGGAACCUUACCAGGGCUUAAAUGUAGUCUGACAGGCGUGGAAACAUGCUUUUCUUCGGACAGAUUACAAGGUGCUGCAUGGUUGUCGUCAGCUCGUGCCGUGAGGUGUCAGGUUAAGUCCUAUAACGAGCGCAACCCCUGUUGUUAGUUGCCAGCGAGUCAUGUCGGGAACUCUAACAAGACUGCCGGUGCAAACCGUGAGGAAGGUGGGGAUGACGUCAAAUCAUCACGGCCCUUACGUCCUGGGCCACACACGUGCUACAAUGGUAGGUACAGAGAGCAGCCACACCGCGAGGUGGAGCGAAUCUUCAAAACCUAUCUCAGUUCGGAUCGG
rnacentral:rRNA from 1 species